rnacentral:rRNA from 1 species
UGGCUCAGAGUGAACGCUGGCGGCGUGCCUAAUACAUGCAAGUCGAACGAUGAAGCUUCUAGCUUGCUAGAAGUGGAUUAGUGGCGCACGGGUGAGUAAGGUAUAGUUAAUCUGCCCUACACAAGAGGACAACAGUUGGAAACGACUGCUAAUACUCUAUACUCCUGCUUAACACAAGUUGAGUAGGGAAAGUUUUUCGGUGUAGGAUGAGACUAUAUAGUAUCAGCUAGUUGGUAAGGUAAUGGCUUACCAAGGCUAUGACGCUUAACUGGUCUGAGAGGAUGAUCAGUCACACUGGAACUGAGACACGGUCCAGACUCCUACGGGAGGCAGCAGUAGGGAAUAUUGCGCAAUGGGGGAAACCCUGACGCAGCAACGCCGCGUGGAGGAUGACACUUUUCGGAGCGUAAACUCCUUUUCUUAGGGAAGAAUUCUGACGGUACCUAAGGAAUAAGCACCGGCUAACUCCGUGCCAGCAGCCGCGGUAAUACGGAGGGUGCAAGCGUUACUCGGAAUCACUGGGCGUAAAGGGCGCGUAGGCGGAUUAUCAAGUCUCUUGUGAAAUCUAAUGGCUUAACCAUUAAACUGCUUGGGAAACUGAUAGUCUAGAGUGAGGGAGAGGCAGAUGGAAUUGGUGGUGUAGGGGUAAAAUCCGUAGAUAUCACCAAGAAUACCCAUUGCGAAGGCGAUCUGCUGGAACUCAACUGACGCUAAGGCGCGAAAGCGUGGGGAGCAAACAGGAUUAGAUACCCUGGUAGUCCACGCCCUAAACGAUGUACACUAGUUGUUGGGGUGCUAGUCAUCUCAGUAAUGCAGCUAACGCAUUAAGUGUACCGCCUGGGGAGUACGGUCGCAAGAUUAAAACUCAAAGGAAUAGACGGGGACCCGCACAAGCGGUGGAGCAUGUGGUUUAAUUCGAAGAUACGCGAAGAACCUUACCUGGGCUUGAUAUCCUAAGAACCUUUUAGAGAUAAGAGGGUGCUAGCUUGCUAGAACUUAGAGACAGGUGCUGCACGGCUGUCGUCAGCUCGUGUCGUGAGAUGUUGGGUUAAGUCCCGCAACGAGCGCAACCCACGUAUUUAGUUGCUAACGGUUCGGCCGAGCACUCUAAAUAGACUGCCUUCGUAAGGAGGAGGAAGGUGUGGACGACGUCA